rnacentral:rRNA from 1 species
AUUGAACGCUGGCGGCAGGCUUAACACAUGCAAGUCGAGCGGGGGAAGGUAGCUUGCUACCGGACCUAGCGGCGGACGGGUGAGUAAUGCUUAGGAAUCUGCCUAUUAGUGGGGGACAACAUCUCGAAAGGGAUGCUAAUACCGCAUACGUCCUACGGGAGAAAGCAGGGGAUCUUCGGACCUUGCGCUAAUAGAUGAGCCUAAGUCGGAUUAGCUAGUUGGUGAGGUAAAGGCCUACCAAGGCGACGAUCUGUAGCGGGUCUGAGAGGUUGAUCCGCCACACUGGGACUGAGACACGGCCCAGACUCCUACGGGAGGCAGCAGUGGGGAAUAUUGGACAAUGGGGGGAACCCUGAUCCAGCCAUGCCGCGUGUGUGAAGAAGGCCUUAUGGUUGUAAAGCACUGUAAGCGAGGAGGAGGCUACUCUAGUUAAUACCUAGGGAUAGUGGACGUUACUCGCAGAAUAAGCACCGGCUAACUCUGUGCCAGCCGCCGCGGUAA